UCAAAAAAGGCAAUGAAAUUUCUAAAUAAACUUUUUUCAACCCUUUUUUGGAAAGCAAAUUUUU
rnacentral:tRNA from 1 species